rnacentral:rRNA from 1 species
GACGAACGCUGGCGGCGUGCUUAACACAUGCAAGUCGAACGAUGAAGCCCAGCUUGCUGGGUGGAAGAGUGGCGAACGGGUGAGUAACACGUGAGUAACCUGCCCCGAACUCUGGGAUAAGCGCUGGAAACGGCGUCUAAUACUGGAUAUGCAUCAUGGCCGCAUGGUCUGUGAUGGGAAAGAUUUAUCGGUUCGGGAUGGACUCGCGGCCUAUCAGCUAGAUGGUGAGGUAACGGCUCACCAUGGCGACGACGGGUAGCCGGCCUGAGAGGGUGACCGGCCACACUGGGACGGAGACACGGCCCAGACUCCUACGGGAGGCAGCAGUGGGGAAUAUUGCACAAUGGGCGAAAGCCUGAUGCAGCAACGCCGCGUGAGGGAUGACGGCCUUCGGGUUGUAAACCUCUUUUAGUAGGGAAGAAGCGAAAGUGACGGUACCUGCAGAAAAAGCACCGGCUAACUACGUGCCAGCCGCCGCCGUAAGAC